AAGGGUCCUCCUCCCUUCAACUGUGACGUCACAGUUGGUUGCUGUGGAAAUGAUUGUCCUACGACAAAGGAUUGCGACUUAAGUAGAAGCAGCAAAUAUCUCUUAAGAAAUAAAGAUUCUGUGAUCCAACAAAUACCCUUGGUAAUAAAAGGCAGUCAAGGCAAUUCACCAUAAGGAAAGAGUGUACAAGACGGGAGGCAGAGGGCUUUCCUCAUCUGCUUGUGUAAAUUCAGAAACGUCCAAAGAUGGAAACAGAUCAGAGAGUAAGUUGAAAGUGCAGUUGAAGAAGAUAAGGUAAACGUUAUUUUUGGAAAUGCCUUUCAAACUUAAAGCUUUCUGCUUAUAUCAUGAAAAAGGCCAAAGAAGCAUUCACAGAAAUGAUCAAGUCAACUUUGUGGAAUAGCCAUUGUGAAGGCUUGGAAACAGCAGACUUGUCAGUGGUGGUGAUAAAAGCAGCUAGAGAAGAUCUCAGUGGGCUUGGAAUUGUAGGCUCCCACUUACUGGCUGGGUGACCUUUUGGCAAGUGACUUAACAUCUCUGGGCCUCAGUUUUUUUAUCUGUAGCAUGAGGUGAACAUACCUAAUCUUACUGCCUUACUGGGUUGUUACAAGAAUCAAAGGAAAUAAAAAAUAGGAAAGAGCUUAAAUGCUGUAGUUUGCUGGACAAAUCUAAAGCUCAAAAGAAGCCACAAAGGAGAAGUGGUGGGUUAGUGGCUCACAGAGGGCUUCCAAGUGAUAGUCGCAGGCUGCUCCAUUGGAUUCCAUUUGCUAUUGGUCUCCCAUGGGAGAGGAGUAGACCUGUGCUUCCAGGUCCAAACUUCGUGCCUUCUAAAUGUAGUCAAAAAGGUGAUAUGAGAUUUCGAAGCAAUAUAAGGGAACACAUACUGUUUCAGGAUGCCUAUAGUUACUGAAUUUUGAAAUAAUUAAAACAACAGAAGUGGAAAAUGUUGGCAAUUAUAGUUGGAUUCUCAGUGGAGUGCAAAUCCUGGGCAAGUACCACAUUUUUUCUGCAUUUAUAACCCUUGCCAUCCACAGAGCUCUUAGUUGGGUAACUCAAUAAAUGAUGGCUGAAUAAAUGGGUUUUCAAUA